UUGACAUCAGGCUGUAGGUUGACAUCAGGUUGUAGGUUGACAUCAGGUUGUAGAUUGACAUCAGGUUGUAGGGUUGACAUCAGGUUGUAGGGUUGACAUCAGGCUGUAGAUUGACAUCAGGCUGUAGGUUGACAUCAGGUUGUAGAUUGACAUCAGGCUGUAGGUUGACAUCAGGUUGUAGAUUGACAUCAGGUUGUAGGGUUGACAUCAGGUUGUAGAUUGACAUCAGGUUGUAGGGUUGACAUCAGGUUGUAGGGUUGACAUCAGGCUGUAGAUUGACAUCAGGCUGUAGGUUGACAUCAGGCUGUAGGUUGACAUUAGGUUGUAGGUUGACAUCAGGCUGUAGGUUGACAUCAGGUUGUAGAUUGACAUCAGGUUGUAGGGUUGACAUCAGGUUGUAGGGUUGACAUCAGGCUGUAGAUUGACAUCAGGCUGUAGAUUGACAUCAGGUUGUAGAUUGACAUCAGGCUGUAGGUUGACAUCAGGCUGUAGAUUGACAUCAGGUUGUAGGUUGACAUCAGGUUGUAGAUUUACAUCAGGUUGUAGGGUUGACAUCAGGUUGUAGGUUGACAUCAGGCUGUAGGGUUGACAUCAGGCUGUAGGUUGACAUCAGGUUGUAGGGUUGACAUCAGGUUGUAGGGUUGACAUCAGGUUGUAGAUUGACAUCAGGUUGUAGAUUGACAUCAGGUUGUAGGGUUGACAUCAGGUUGUAGGGUUGACAUCAGGUUGUAGGGUUGACAUCAGGCUGUAGGGUUGACAUCAGG